GAACAACAUUUGAGGAAGAGGGACACUUCACUGUCUGGACAUGGAAAUAAGAUGUUUUUCAGCGUGAAAGCAGAUGAUUUCAGACUUGAGUCUUUUUUCAUCAUCUUUCGGUUUCUGUUAUCAACAUUGUUGACAAAGGCUUGAAUACUUAAACAUUUAUUGGGGAUAUGGUUUACAAACAGAAGUUUAAUUAACAUUUGCAUGAGGUCAUGCAAAUGUUAAUUAAACAAAUGUUUUUUGAGUUUCAGGGAGCAAAGAGACAAAACUACUUGCCCUCUGAACAGGGAACAAGUCUCUUCAUCACCAAGGCUACAGCCAGAUAAAGUCACAUGAGCAACAACCAGAUGUUACUACUGGUGGAAACGACAAAGAAGAUGACAGGAAGUGGUAGGAGGAGGAUGGAACGGGAUGUUUGUUUAUGACUUAUCACGUUACAAAAAGUUUGUCUUUGGGAAGACAGGAUGAAGUUUACAUCCUCUUUGGGCUUUCUCCACAUCACUUCCUCUCAGGAGUUUAUACUACAUCUCAGCUGUUGUGAUGUCCAACAGGUGUUCUGGGUUUUGUCCGGACACAAUUGGACAGACCUGCAACCCAUCAAGCCCACGAUUCGUGACGUAGCGAUGAGCGCCGCAACUCACUGGCAAACUCUUACUGUACCCAACCCGCAUCCGCGAUUGGCCGUCCUGACUGAAGCUGGGAGGAAACCUGUUUGGACUGGAGGGAGGCCAGUCCUGGUCUGCCAGAGCAAACGAAACACUAACCCUCAACUUCGUCUGGUUCCCAUAGCCGGUUGCUUAAAUGUUGGAUAUAAUCUGUGAUGGUGUUACAGAUACACUUUAGAGCUGCUUUGUUUUUCCUCGUUUUCAUCCAUUUAACCCCGUCAUCACCUCAGAGCCUGAUAGCUGCAGUCAGCUGUUUAAGCAUGAAGGAAAAAUAGUUGAGCUAAGCUUGUCACCAAUAACCUACAGGAUCCUAACUAUGCCAGGACAGGAGUUCUUGAUGUUGCAAAAAAAAAAAAAAAAAAAGAAAGAUGAAAUUACCACCUAGUUAGCUUCCCCAAAACAACACCAGCAACUGUCUAAUUAUCCAAAUAAAUCUGUAGAGCUUCGAACACACUAAUAAACUGUUGCACUGAGUGACAGGAAAUGCACCUAAAACAAGGAAGCUGUCAGAUGAAACAAUAUAAAUGGGUCUUAAAGGGUCAGUAUUAUGUGUUUUCUAGCCACCGAGGGUCAUUUUAUAGCACAAUCAAGUAACUAUGUUACCUUCAGUUGUUAUAAAAAAAAAUGCCAUG